GGGUUGUAGCUGGCCUUUUACGAGGCAUGUGCACACCCCACUCAUCCAYUCAACACCUGUGCACACUAUGUAGGUUUAGAUGAGCAUCGGGGCUUCGGCUUCGGUGGGAGUCUGACCUAUGUCUUUAUAAACUCUGUUUAGUAAAUGAAUGUAAUUGCGAUAAACGCAUUUUAUACAACUUUCAGCAACGGAUCUCUUGGCUCUCGCAUCGAUGAAGAACGCAGCGAAAUGCGAUAAGUAAUGUGAAUUGCAGAAUUCAGUGAAUCAUCGAAUCUUUGAACGCACCUUGCGCCCCUUGGUAUUCCGAGGGGCACACCUGUUUGAGUGUCGUGAAAUUCUCAACUCAAAUACCUUUGCUGGUGUUUGAGCUUGGAUUUGGGGGUUUUGCUGGCUUGUGUCGGCUCCCCUUGAAUGUAUUAGCUCGGACCCUUGCGGAUYAGCUAUCGGUGUGAUAAUUGUCUACGCCGUGGUUGUGAUGCCACCUUUUAGGUGUUGAGGGAUCGGCUUCCAAUCGUCCCUUGGGACAAUUAUUUUGAAAUCUGACCUCAAAUCAGGUGGGACUACCCGCUGAACUUAAGCAUAUCAAUAAGCGGAGGAAAAGAAACUAACAAGGAUUCCCCUAGUAACUGCGAGUGAAGCGGGAAAAGCUCAAAUUUAAAAUCUGGCGGUCUUUGGCCGUCCGAGUUGUAGUCUGGAGAAGUGCUUUCCGYGCUGGACCGUGUAUAAGUCUCCUGGAACGGAGYGUCAUAGAGGGUGAGAAUCCCGUCUUUGACACGGACUACCAGUGCUCUGUGAUGCGCUCUCAAAGAGUCGAGUUGUUUGGGAAUGCAGCUCAAAAUGGGUGG
rnacentral:rRNA from 1 species